GACGAACGCUGGCGGCGUGCUUAACACAUGCAAGUCGAACGGAAAGGCCCUGCUUUUGUGGGGUGCUCGAGUGGCGAACGGGUGAGUAACACGUGAGUAACCUGCCCUUGGCUUUGGGAUAACUUCAGGAAACUGGGGCUAAUACCGGAUAGGAGCUCCUGCUGCAUGGUGGGGGUUGGAAAGUUUCGGCGGUUGGGGAUGGACUCGCGGCUUAUCAGCUUGUUGGUGGGGUAGUGGCUUACCAAGGCUUUGACGGGUAGCCGGCCUGAGAGGGUGACCGGCCACAUUGGGACUGAGAUACGGCCCAGACUCCUACGGGAGGCAGCAGUGGGGAAUAUUGCACAAUGGGCGGAAGCCUGAUGCAGCAACGCCGCGUGCGGGAUGACGGCCUUCGGGUUGUAAACCGCUUUCGCCUGUGGCGAAGCGUGAGUGACGGUAAUGGGUAAAGAAGCACCGGCUAACUACGUG
rnacentral:rRNA from 1 species